rnacentral:tRNA from 1 species
GCGCUCGCGCGCCGUACCGCAGCCUUUGGCUGCUGGCGCUCCGCGAGGGCGCGGCACGAGCCGCGACGGCCGGUCGGCCUUGCGAGGCUCUGCCUCGAGGUCAGCAGCUUGUUACGGGCAGAGCGCGGUCUUUAGGGCUUGUAGCUCAGUUGGUUAGAGCGCGCGCUUGAUAAGCGUGAGGUCGGAGGUUCAAGUCCUCCCAGGCCCACCACUAACAGUGCAACCCGAAGGGUUGUCGCUUGCCGGUCGAUGCGAUCGGGCACUAUCAGGGGCCGUAGCUCAGCUGGGAAAGCGCCUGCUUUGCAAGCAGGAUGUCGUCGGUUCGAUCCCGUCCGGCUCCACCAAUGCGCAAUCCGCAGGAUUGUCGCUUCAGCCGCCGCGUUGCGGUUUGGCGAUAGCGCGAUCCGCAGGAUCGUCGUGGGUGUAGAGAUGGUGAGAAAAGUCAUUCGAAAAUGAGUUUGCGUCGGGCUUCGUGCUCUGCGCCUGUUCUGUUUGACAUCGUAAAGAGAAGAUUUGUUCGAACUUCAUGGGUCCCGAAAGGGCCAUGAUUUGUCGCAGGGGACGCUCAAUCCCUUGCAUAUGAUGGGUUGCCUAGCCGCGCCCUCGAACCGAUCUCGAGAAGCUGGUCUUUUUGUGCCAAU